GACGAACGCUGGCGGCGUGCUUAACACAUGCAAGUCGAACGGAAAGGCCCUGCUUUUGUGGGGUGCUCGAGUGGCGAACGGGUGAGUAACACGUGAGUAACCUGCCCUUGACUUUGGGAUAACUUCAGGAAACUGGGGCUAAUACCGGAUAGGAGCUCCUGCUGCAUGGUGGGGGUUGGAAAGUUUCGGCGGUUGGGGAUGGACUCGCGGCUUAUCAGCUUGUUGGUGGGGUAGUGGCUUACCAAGGCUUUGACGGGUCGCCGGCCUGAGAGGGUGACCGGCCACAUUGGGACUGAGGUACGGCCCGGACUCCUACGGGAGGCAGCAGUGGGGAAUAUUGCACAAUGGGCGGAAGCCUGAUGCAGCAACGCCGCGUGCUGGAUGACGGCCUUCGGGUUGUAAACCGCUUUCGCCUGUGACGAAGCGUGAGUGACGGUAAUGGGUAAAGAAGCACCGGCUAACUACGUG
rnacentral:rRNA from 1 species